rnacentral:rRNA from 1 species
GAUGAACGCUGACGGCGUGCCUAAUACAUGCAAGUCGAGCGAACGGACGAGAAGCUUGCUUCUCUGAUGUUAGCGGCGGACGGGUGAGUAACACGUGGAUAACCUACCUAUAAGACUGGGAUAACUUCGGGAAACCGGAGCUAAUACCGGAUAAUAUUUUGAACCGCAGGGUUCAAAAGUGAAAGACGGUCUUGCUGUCACUUAUAGAUGGAUCCGCGCUGCAUUAGCUAGUUGGUAAGGUAACGGCUUACCAAGGCAACGAUGCAUAGCCGACCUGAGAGGGUGAUCGGCCACACUGGAACUGAGACACGGUCCAGGCUCCUACGGGAGGCAGCAGUAGGGAAUCUUCCGCAAUGGGCGAAAGCCUGACGGAGCAACGCCGCGUGAGUGAUGAAGGUCUUCGGAUCGUAAAACUCUGUUAUUAGGGAAGAACAUAUGUGUAAGUAGCUGUGCACAUCUUGACGGUACCUAGUCAGAAAGCAACGGCUAACUACGUG